rnacentral:rRNA from 1 species
UACGGGGGGGGCAAGCGUUGUUCGGAAUUACUGGGCGUAAAGGGCUCGUAGGCGGCCAACUAAGUCAUACGUGAAAUCCCACGGCCCAACCGUGGAAGUGCCUCUGAUACUGCCGGCCUCGAGGGGGAUAGGGGCGUGCGGAACUCAGGGUGGAGCGGUGAAAUGCGUAGAUAUCCUGAGGAAUACCGGUGGCGAAAGCGGCGCGCUGGAUCCCUUCUGACGCUGAGGCGCGAAAGCCAGGGGAGCAAACGGG